rnacentral:rRNA from 1 species
UACGGGGGGGGCGAGCGUUGUUCGGAAUUACUGGGCGUAAAGGGUUUGUAGGUGGCUGGCUAAGUCAGACGUGAAAUCCCUCGGCUCAACCGGGGAACUGCGUCUGAGACUGGCGAGCUCGAGUGCAGGAGAGGAACGCGGAAUUCCAGGUGUAGCGGUGAAAUGCGUAGAUAUCUGGAGGAACACCGGUGGCGAAGGCGGCGUUCUGGACUGCAACUGACGCUGAGGCACGAAAGCGUGGGGAGCAAACAGG